rnacentral:tRNA from 1 species
ACCUAGAUGGCUCAGUUGGAGGAGCAUGAGACUCUUGAUUUCAGGGUCGUGAGUUCGAGCCCCAUGCUGGGUG